rnacentral:rRNA from 1 species
ACUCCUACGGGAGGCAGCAGUGGGGAAUAUUGCACAAUGGGCGCAAGCCUGAUGCAGCCAUGCCGCGUGUGUGAAGAAGGCCUUCGGGUUGUAAAGCACUUUCAGUUGUGAGGAAGGUGGUGUCGUUAAUAGCGGCAUCAUUUGACGUUAGCAACAGAAGAAGCACCGGCUAACUCCGUGCCAGCAGCCGCGGUAAUACGGAGGGUGCGAGCGUUAAUCGGAAUUACUGGGCGUAAAGCGCAUGCAGGUGGUUUGUUAAGUCAGAUGUGAAAGCCCGGGGCUCAACCUCGGAACUGCAUUUGAAACUGGCAGACUAGAGUACUGUAGAGGGGGGUAGAAUUUCAGGUGUAGCGGUGAAAUGCGUAGAGAUCUGAAGGAAUACCGGUGGCAAGGCGGCCCCUGGACAGAUACUGACACUCAGAUGCGAAAGCUGGGGAGCAAACAGGAUUAGAU